UUUCCGUAGGUGAACCUGCGGAAGGAUCAUUAUUGUAUAACCGAGGUGCGAGGGCUGUCGCUGACCCGAAAGGUCGUGCACGCCCGAGUGCCCUCACACACAUCCAUCUCACCCCUAUGUGCACCACCGCGUGGGUCCCCCUUUGGCUUGUUCGGAGGGGGGCUUACGUUUUCACACAAACUUUGUAUGCAGUGUAGAAUGUAUUUUUUGUUUUUGCGAUCACGCAAUCAAUACAACUUUCAACAACGGAUCUCUUGGCUCUCGCAUCGAUGAAGAAC
rnacentral:misc_RNA from 1 species